UGGCUCAGGUUUCUCUUCAGUCACGCAUAAAUCUUUCGCCUUUUACUAAAGAUUUCCGUGGAGAGGACCGUCAAUGAGUUUGAUGUAUUUUUGUGAGUUUUAUCAAGGCAAAGCU